UGCGAUUUUUUGAAUGGAAACACUAACGAAGAUUUUAAUUAAGAAUUAACACUCUGUAAGAUCGGCUGCUCAGGCAGCAAGGGAGUACUUGUAGCCCUGGAGAUGGAAAUGGGAUAAUUACUAAGGCAAAUGGAUCCGUCUGACCCAUUAUCCUUUAUUUCUUCCAGAUUCUAGAUGCUUCCCCAGCCCUUCCUUUAUGACUGUUUGACAAUGGAGCAGGAGGCCGUGGCUUUUCCCUGUAUCGGUUGAGCUCGAUCGUGUACAAUCUCCCACCCCCGGAGGUAAAAUCUCGCAGUUUCUUCAGAGUUACUACCGUGAUAUUACAACUUACGGUACGAAUGCUACUAACAAGGACAGCAGCAGCUGCAGCAGCUACAAUUAUUUACGGAACAAUUAUGCCAAGAAACAAUCACUCACCAUCAAAACAAUCCAAGAAGGACUGUGAUAUCGAUGGUGCCCAAGGUAAAGAGUUAGCCCCACAAUUGGCUGUUUAUAGAAGUGAAUCUGGCUGAAGCCAACAUGCCAAGGUCAGAAUAGCUGGCACCCAAAUUCUGUUCCCAAGACUAAAACCUUCUGACUAGAAGGACCAUGUUCGAAUUACAACCAUAUAUUUUGCCUAUUCUGUUCCUAAUUCGAGAAUGCUUUGUCCUGUCCUUCAUGAGUCUUGCUUAUGUUAAUUUCCAUAGAAACCACACGUUGCCUUUACCCCAUUGAUUGCCAAUAAAAGUCAGUGCCUGGGACUGGCCAGCGCCUUUGUCGGUUGCACUGUCAUUGGUCAUCCUGGCGCCCUGCUUUCUCUCUCUUAGUUCUGUCUUUUAGUGCAUUUUUUUCUCCUCAGGCCUGGGUCAUAUACUGAACAUGUGGGUACUGGAAC
rnacentral:lncRNA from 1 species